GAUUACUAUGCAAUACCAGCACUGGCCAGUAGGGGUCACUGUGUGUGGAGACAGGCAGGGAUAGGAAGUUCCAGCAUAUCCCUCCCUGCCUCUCUCUACUCACUGAUCUGCAGGGGUGCAGCUACAGAGAUUCCAGACAGCAACUCCCACCCUGCAGAGACAGCCUACAGCUCAGGGAAGUAAGGGAUGGGAGAAAGGCUGCAAGGAGACAUGGGGACACUGAGACUCUAAGGGACAUUGGGAGACAUUAUGACACAGACACAUGGGGACACAGUGUUCCCAUGUCUCCCAGUGUCCCCAUGUCUCCCAGCCAGUGUCCCUGGUGUCUCAGUGCCCCCUAGUCUCCCAGUGCCCCCAGUCUGCCAGUGUCUCACUGUCCCCAUGUCUCCUAGUGCCUCCAUGUCUCCCAGUGCCUCAAGUGUCUCAAUGUCC